AACCCCUCUGCUACAAAUUAAAGGAACUACAAAAAUCACUCCUGAACCCCCCCCCCCAACAACUUGAAGAAAGCACACCCACGCUUCCCCCAACUCCAUCUAAAAGCUGAAGAAGACGCUGCUGCGCUGAUGAUGAUGGCACGAACAGCAUCGUAUGUUCCUAAAACAGAUCCAAUGCCAUCAUUCAACCUGGGCUUCACUGAUUCAAGCCAAGAAAAAGCAGCAACGCAGGAGGGAGCGUCAACACAGGAGGCAGAUAGGGCAAAAACUCCAAAAACUGCAAAUUUGCUGGAACAACUAGAGGAUUUGGUACAAAAAAUAGCAAGCAGUGCGGCGAAAGAAGAAAGUAAAAGUCCACAAAUUCAAAAGGAGACUGGCGGAGAAAGUUCUGGGAAGUUUGAAACU